UACGUAGGUGGCAAGCCUUGUCCGGAUUUACUGGGCGUAAAGAGCGCGCAGGCGGUCGUUCAAGUCGCGUGUGAAAGCCCCCGGCUCAACUGGGGAGGGUCACGCGAUACUGAUCGACUCGAAGGCAGGAGAGGGAAGUGGAAUUCCCGGUGUAGUGGUGAAAUGCGUAGAUAUCGGGAGGAACACCAGUGGCGAAGGCGACUUCCUGGCCUGUUCUUGACGCUGAGGCGCGAAAGCUAGGGGAGCAAACGGG
rnacentral:rRNA from 1 species